rnacentral:lncRNA from 1 species
GUUGUUAGUCACUAACUCUAUAGACUUCAAACCUGGACUGUCUCUUGAAACCAGCAAUUUCCACCGCCCUUACUAUCACCAUGACACCCUCACACUGCCUGCUUGUUGUAGGCAUCUCUGCAGCCAAUAAGGACUUUUAACUGCCUGCAGCUCAUCUGUGGCUCCUUAACUUCCCAUUAUCUCUGAGCAAAUCCCAGGUCUUUGACGCAGUUUGAUCAGGCCUUGCCUGAUACACCUCCCUGACCCUCUCCCUGCUUCCCGAUUCCCUUUGGCCUCUCUCACCAGCCUCCUGGUCAUCAUUUAUGCUCUAGGCAGACUGAAUGUCCCUUAGCUGAGGGCUGUGACCUCUCAUUCCAAAGAUAUGUGGCUGGGAGAAUUUGCUUCUUUUCUAACAUUAAGGGGUUGGCUUUUCUUGUCACUUCCUUUACGUGUCCCUAUCCUGUGUGCUCCUAGGCAGGGGCAAAAUCAAUACAAGAGGUGGCCACAGUCUUUUUCUCUACUAACCAUCAAAGAGAACCCUGAAAUCCUUACCCUUCGCCCCUAGGAAGAAGGCAAGAGUUUGAUUUAAUCCACAUGAGGAAGCCCUGGGAUAGCUGGGGGUGGCAGAAAGGAGGUUUUCUAACUUUUGGCUUGGAGUGUGAAUUUAGAUCCUCCUUGGUGUUGUUCCAGAUGUGGAGAAAAAAGGAGAAAGAGAGAUAUAGAUAGAUAGAUAGAUAGAUAGAUAGAUAGAUAGAUAGAUCUUACUUGAAGUUUUCUUCUUGGCUGUGCCAGAAUGCUAAGACUGAAUUUGGUGGGCUUAGGAGUCCCACGAAUCUUGUACCUUGUCAUUGGUUCAUCAGAGCCUGAUCAUACCAUCUUGGCUGUAACCAGUGUUUACUUGUCUCUUUCCCCACAGGAACACGAGUACAGAGCGCAGGACCAGGCAUGUAGUAAACCCUCUAAUGAUUGACUAAUAAAUGGAACAGAAAUUGUACAAUAAAACAGAAACACAACAAACAAAAUAAAAGCCCAAGUCACGGAACAGUUAGCAAAUGAGUCUGUAGUCUUGUGGCAAAGGUGCUGUGGAAGCAGAUGCUAACUAUAUUAGCUUAGCUCCAAAACUCACAUCCUUAGU